rnacentral:lncRNA from 10 species
CGGGUUCACGCCAUUCUCCCGCCUCAGCCUCCGGAGCAGCUGGGACUACAGGCGCCCGCCACUGCACCCAGCUACUAUUUUUAGUAGAGACGGGGUUUCACCAUGGUCUCGAUCUCCUGACUUCAUGAUCCACCCGCUUCGGCCUCCCAAAGUGCUGGGAUUACAGGCGUGAGCCACUGCGCCCGGCCUGCAGAUGGGUGGUAGCCAGGCAUCUGGAAGGAGAGCCUUAGGAUAUGGACCUGGCUUCAGACUGCAGAGCCUGGAGCCCAGGAUGACCCUGUCUACUAGGAUGAAGGAAAGAAGACUGAAAAACCAAACAAUGCAUCAGUUGAAAGAGUCUGUGCUUCAAUGCAGAAUACAAAAGAGAUCUGAAACCAUACACCUUCAAGGAGUUUGCAGGCCAGUAGAGAAUAAAAACUGGAACCUAUUGGCAGCUAUGCAUCAGUAAAGUGAAGAAGCACCUCAGGAAAAGGGAGCAUAAGGGAAAAUAAGGAGACAUAAAGAAAAAUGGAAAACAUGAAAGAAAGAGAUUGAGAGUUGUAACAAUGAAAAAGGAAGAUUGCACAGUGAGGCCUGAAUAGAAUGUGUAGGAGACAGCUACCUAGAAUGGAGCAUGACAGAAAUCUUCACGGGACAUUCCUCCAAGAUCAGGAAAUUUCUCAAAUGCUUCAAGUGCCCGGAAAUAAGAAGUUGAAAACGAAAGUUUGCUGGGAGUUCCAUUGGUAAAAUGUACAUAUUGAAAACAGUUAAAAAAAUGAGACAGAGAAAAAGAGAGAGAAUCAAACACACGUAACAUGACAAUAUUUAAUGCUUUUUUAAAAGGUAGAAAAUUGAGUCACAGUAAUUACAUGCUUAUCUGUAUGUAACAUUUACCAAAUUAUAAUAAUAAGUGCAAAAUAUCUAAUCAUAUUUAUAAUAUUACUGUAUUGGAAGGAUAAAAGGACAGAUAAAUUAACUUUGUAUCUGGUGGACAGCAAAAAACAGACAUCUAUUAUCUUCCAAAGUAGCAAGUCAAUGCAUAUAUAAUGUCAAAAUUCAAAAAGUAAAAAAGUAACAAUGCAAGCUGUUAUUUUGAGAAAAUGCCAAAAUAUUCAGCCGAAAAGCUAUAAAGGUACUAUGUCAAUGAAAGGGAAAUGGGAGAUUGUCUAUUUUUUUAAAUAAAUUUUGGAGAAUAACUUUAUUUUUUAAACUCUUGAGAUAAUUCACUGCGAUAGAACUCAAACAAAAACAAAAGAUAAUAAAUUGUUGUCUGCAUGCUGUAAUUACAGCUUUCUUUUAUAAUGUUUGAGAAAGAAAAAUAAAACUUUUGAUAGGUUUCAACUUAUACCUUUUAAUAUUUUUCUUAACUUUUAAUUUUUGUGGAUAUAAAGUAGUUGUACAUGUUUAAUUGGUACAUGAGAUAUUUUGACACCGACAUGCAAAGCGUAAUAAUCACAUUACGGAAAAUGGGGUAUCCAUCCCCUCAAGCAUUUAUCCUUUGUGUAAAAAAUAAUCCAAUUUUACUCCUUCAGUUAUUUUAAAAUGUACAAUUAAAUUAUUUUCACUAUAGUCAUCUUGUUGUGCUAUUAAAUACUAAGCAUUGUUCAUUUUUUCUAUUUUUUGUACCCAUUCACUAUCCCCACCACCCCAACAACCCCCCAACUACCUUCCCCAGCCUCUGGUAACUGUAUUUCUACUCUCCACCACCUUAACAUAAUGACCUAUUCACUUAACAUAUUGCCCUCCAGUUCCAAUUAUGUUGUUGCAAAUGGCAGGAUUUCACUCUUUCAUAUGGCUGAAUACCCUAUUCUGUGAUAUUACUAUAAGGCUUGCAAAUACUAUCUUAUAGCUCAUUAUUUUAAACUAAUGACAACACUGCUUGCAUACACAAAUGAACAAACACACAGAAGUAAAACUAAUAAAAACUAUACACUUUAACUUCAUCCUCUUGUUUUUAUGACUUUUAGUUAUUUCUCCUGUCUUAUUGUACUGUGUCUUAAAAAGUUGUACUUAUAUUUUUUAUUGGUUCAUUAUUUAGUC